CAAUAGCGUAUAUUAAAGUUGUUGCGGUUAAAAAGCUCGUAGUUGGAUUUCUGCCGAGGACGACCGGUCCGCCCUCUGGGUGUGUAUCUGGUUUGGCCUGGGCAUCUUCUUGGAGAACGUAGCUGCACUUGACUGUGUGGUGCGGUGUCCAGGACUUUUACUUUGAGGAAAUUAGAGUGUUUCAAGCAGGCACACGCCUUGAAUACAUUAGCAUGGAAUAAUAAGAUAGGACCUCGGUUCUAUUUUGUUGGUUUCUAGAGCUGAGGUAAUGAUUAAUAGGGAUAGUUGGGGGCAUUCGUAUUUAACUGUCAGAGGUGAAAUUCUUGGAUUUGCUAAAGACGGACUACUGCGAAAGCAUUUGCCAAGGAUGUUUNCAUUG
rnacentral:rRNA from 1 species